UGAGUCCGUCCAGGGCGUAGUGCGCUUUCAGGCGGCCAUAAUGCUGGCCACACGCUGUGGAUCAACGGCAAAAAGACGAUUCUGUGUUGAUUCCGUCGGGCAUCAUGCACCCCGGUGUGACCUGCUAUAUCGGCAAACGGCGUCGUGUGCUUUCGCCCGAAUGCGCUGCUCAAGGAAAUCGAAGAGCUCGAAGCCGCCGGUCUGGAUGUCCGUCGCGCCUGCAAUUUCCGAAAUUUGCCCGCUGAUUCCUUCCGUACCAUGUUGGCCCAUCGACAAGGCUAGGGAGGCUCGCAAGGUGCGACGGCAAGAUCGGCACGACUGGUGUCGUGGUAAUCGGCCCGGCUUUACGUAAGACAAGGUGGCCGCCGCCGAGCACCUUGCGCGUACAGGAUCUGUUUACGCCCGAUAAUCUCUCGACGCCAAGCUGGCUGAGGUGCUCGACUUAUCCAACUUCGUACCACCAAGUACCUUGGUGGGCCGAAAGCUCGUGUCCGCCAAUGAGUGGUGGGUAUCAGGGCCAAUGGCCGGCUUGUGCCCGCCCGGCCAUCCAGCCCAUGGUGCUUGAUGAUUGUCUCCAGCAGCCUCUUACUCUGGCCCAGGUAGCAGGUGCCAUUCCUGUUCCGAAGGUGCGCAAGGCGCGUUGCUUGGGAAUGUGGGAUCACGGGCACCUAUCCUACCGUCACAGCAGCAAACUUGUCCUGCAGGCGGGCGGGGCAGGGGGGGGGGGGGGGGGGGUUUUUUUUUCGGCAGGGCCGGUGGUGGCCGCAGGCACUGGGGGGGGGGGGGGGGGGGGCGAACCCUUACGUGCUUCGGUAUCCAACCAAGGCCUACCACCAAGCGCGUGGGCUCGGG
rnacentral:rRNA from 1 species